UUUUUUUAGCAAGGGGUUCAAUUACCAGAGCAAAUAACAGUGGUGAAAAUGAGCAUCCUUGUCUGUUGCCCCUUGAUAAUUGGAAUUUCGUAGAUACUAUGUUAUCAGUUAAUAUUCUAGCCGUAGGCUUAUUAUAUAAUAAUUUUAUCCAUGAAAUGAAGUUCUCUCCCAUUUGAAAUGUUUG